GACGAACGCUGGCGGCGUGCUUAACUCAUGCAAGUCGAACGGUAAGGCCCUUCGGGGUACACGAGUGGCGAACGGGUGAGUAACACGUGGGUGAUCUGCCCUGCACUUCGGGAUAAGACUGGGAAACUGGGUCUAAUACCGGAUAGGACUCCUGGCUUCAUGGUUGGGGGUGGAAAGCUUUUGCGGUGUGGGAUGGGCCCGCGGCCUAUCAGCUUGUUGGUGGGGUAAUGGCCUACCAAGGCGACGACGGGUAGCCGGCCUGAGAGGGUGACCGGUCACACUGGGACUGAGAUACGGCCCAGACUCCUACGGGAGGCAGCAGUGGGGAAUAUUGCACAAUGGGCGCAAGCCUGAUGCAGCGACGCCGCGUGAGGGAUGACGGCCUUCGGGUUGUAAACCUCUUUCAGCUAUGACGAAGCGCAAGUGACGGUAGUAGCAGAAGAAGGACCGGCCAACUACGUGCCAGCCGCCGCAGUAA
rnacentral:rRNA from 1 species